GCUUCUUACCUCGGAGACCGGCUGCGGAUAUGGGUACGCACUGGCCCGAAAGUAGGCGUCGCGGACUUUGGGGAGUCCGCUUGACCUCAGUUACCGCCCUCGCGUGUUUCACGGGCCGGCGGUGGCGCUCGGGACGCCGCAAGAACCGCGGCGCUCUACGGCUCACCGUGUUACAAACACCCUUUCUCUCUGCGAAUGGCUUCCAGGGUCACGGCGCCUUAAACAGAAAAGAAAACUCUUUCCCGGACCACCGCCGACGGACGCGAGCUGGUUCCCGUUACCGGGCUCCUGCACAGGGCAACAUUCCCCUGCCCGGGGGGCAAGGGCGCUUACACCUGUUUGGCAUCCGGGUCCUGGUUACGGAAUAAUGACCGUAUUCCCUUUCGCCACUAAUCCCCUCUGGCAACUCCCUGU
rnacentral:rRNA from 1 species